rnacentral:rRNA from 1 species
ACCGUCGUUUCUUUGGCGGGCCGCCGGGCCCUGCUCGGCCGCCGGCCCCGGCUGGCGCGUGCCCGCCAGAGGCCCUUCAAACUCUGAAUGUUAGUGUCGUCUGAGUACUAUACAAUAGUUAAAACUUUCAACAACGGAUCUCUUGGUUCUGGCAUCGAUGAAGAACGCAGCGAAAUGCGAUAAGUAAUGCGAAUUGCAGAAUUCAGUGAGUCAUCGAAUCUUUGAACGCACAUUGCGCCCUGUGGUAUUCCGCAGGGCAUGCCUGUUCGAGCGUCAUUUCAACCCUCAAGCCCUGCUUGGUGUUGGGCCCUGCCCGUUGCGGCCGGCCCUAAAGUCAGUGGCGGCGCCGUCUGGCUCUAAGCGUAGUACAUCUCUCGCUCUAGGGCCCCGCGGUGGCUUGCCAGCAACCCCAACUCCUAUGGUUGACCUCGGAUCAGGUAGGAAUACCCGCU